rnacentral:rRNA from 1 species
GACGAGCGCUGGCGGCGUGCCUAAUACAUGCAAGUCGAACGAAGCUUUCUUUCACCGAAUGCUUGCAUUCACCGAAAGAAGCUUAGUGGCGAACGGGUGAGUAACACGUAGGCAACCUGCCCAAAAGAGGGGGAUAACACUUGGAAACAGGUGCUAAUACCGCAUAACCAUGAACACCGCAUGAUGUUCAUGUAAAAGACGGCUUUUGCUGUCACUUUUGGAUGGGCCUGCGGCGUAUUAACUUGUUGGUGGGGUAACGGCCUACCAAGGUGAUGAUACGUAGCCGAACUGAGAGGUUGAUCGGCCACAUUGGGACUGAGACACGGCCCAAAAUCCUACGGGAGCAGCAGUAGGGAAUCUUCCACAAUGGACGAAAGUCUGAUGGAGCAAACGCCGCGUGAAUGAAGAAGGCCUUCGGGUCGUAAAAUUCUGUUGUCAGAGAAGAACGUGCGUGAGAGUAACUGUUCACGUAUUGACGGUAUC